AGCAGCCGCGGUAAUUCCAGCUCCAAUAGCGUAUAUUAAAGUUGUUGCAGUUAAAAGCUCGUAGUUGAAUUUCGGGAUCAAUACGUUGGUCGUGCUUUCGGGUACGUACUGGCGUCAUUGGUUUCUCUCUUCUGACGAACCAUGAUGUCAUUAGUUUGGUGUUAUGGGGAGUUAGGACUGUUACUUUGAAAAAAUUAGAGUGUUUAAAGCAGGCUCACGCUUGAAUACAUUAGCAUGGAAUAAUGAAAUAGGACGUUUGAUUCUAUUUUGUUGGUUUCUAGGAUCGACGUAAUGAUUAAUAGGGAUAGUUGGGGGCAUUAGUAUUCAAUUGUCAGAGGUGAAAUUCUUGGAUUUAUUGAAGACUAACUACUGCGAAAGCAUUUGCCAAGGAUGUUUUCAUUAAUCAAGAACGAAAGUUAGGGGAUCGAAGAACGAUCAGAUACCGUCGUAGUCUUAACCAUAAACUAUGCCGACUAGGGAUCGGAUGAUGUUAAUUUUUUCAAUGACUCAUUCGGCGCCU
rnacentral:rRNA from 1 species